UACGAAGGGGGGCUAGCGUUGCUCGGAAUUACUGGGCGUAAAGGGCGCGUAGGCGGAUCGUUAAGUCAGAGGUGAAAGCCCAGGGCUCAACCCUGGAAUUGCCUUUGAUACUGGCGAUCUUGGAGUACGGGAGAGGUGUGUGGAACUCCGAGUGUAGAGGUGAAAUUCGUAGAUAUUCGGAAGAACACCAGUGGCGAAGGCGGCUCACUGGUCCGGUACUGACGCUGAGGUGCGAAAGCGUGGGGAGCAAACAGG
rnacentral:rRNA from 1 species